GAGAAGCUUGCUUCUCUGAUGUUAGCGGCGGACGGGUGAGUAACACGUGGAUAACCUACCUAUAAGACUGGGAUAACUUCGGGAAACCGGAGCUAAUACCGGAUAAUAUUUUGAACCGCAUGGUUCAAAAGUGAAAGACGGUCUUGCUGUCACUUAUAGAUGGAUCCGCGCUGCAUUAGCUAGUUGGUAAGGUAACGGCUUACCAAGGCAACGAUGCAUAGCCGACCUGAGAGGGUGAUCGGCCACACUGGAACUGAGACACGGUCCAGACUCCUACGGGAGGCAGCAGUAGGGAAUCUUCCGCAAUGGGCGAAAGCCUGACGGAGCAACGCCGCGUGAGUGAUGAAGGUCUUCGGAUCGUAAAACUCUGUUAUUAGGGAAGAACAUAUGUGUAAGUAACUGUGCACAUCUUGACGGUACCUAAUCAGAAAGCCACGGCUAACUACGUGCCAGCAGCCGCGGUAAUACGUAGGUGGCAAGCGUUAUCCGGAAUUAUUGGGCGUAAAGCGCGCGUAGGCGGUUUUUUAAGUCUGAUGUGAAAGCCCACGGCUCAACCGUGGAGGGUCAUUGGAAACUGGAAAACUUGAGUGCAGAAGAGGAAAGUGGAAUUCCAUGUGUAGCGGUGAAAUGCGCAGAGAUAUGGAGGAACACCAGUGGCGAAGGCGACUUUCUGGUCUGUAACUGACGCUGAUGUGCGAAAGCGUGGGGAUCAAACAGGAUUAGAUACCCUGGUAGUCCACGCCGUAAACGAUGAGUGCUAAGUGUUAGGGGGUUUCCGCCCCUUAGUGCUGCAGCUAACGCAUUAAGCACUCCGCCUGGGGAGUACGACCGCAAGGUUGAAACUCAAAGGAAUUGACGGGGACCCGCACAAGCGGUGGAGCAUGUGGUUUAAUUCGAAGCAACGCGAAGAACCUUACCAAAUCUUGACAUCCUUUGACAACUCUAGAGAUAGAG
rnacentral:rRNA from 2 species